rnacentral:rRNA from 1 species
AGCGGCGGACGGGUGAGUAACACGUGGGCAACCUGCCUGUAAGACUGGGAUAACUUUCGGGAAACCGGAGCUAAUACCGGAUAAUAUAAGGAACCUCCUGGUUCUUUAUUGAAAGAUGGUUUCGGCUAUCACUUACAGAUGGGCCCGCGGCGCAUUAGCUAGUUGGUGAGGUAACGGCUCACCAAGGCGACGAUGCGUAGCCGACCUGAGAGGGUGAUCGGCCACACUGGGACUGAGACACGGCCCAGACUCCUACGGGAGGCAGCAGUAGGGAAUCUUCCACAAUGGACGAAAGUCUGAUGGAGCAACGCCGCGUGAGCGAUGAAGGCCUUCGGGUCGUAAAGCUCUGUUGUUAGGGAAGAACAAGUGCGAGAGUAACUGCUCGCACCUUGACGGUACCUAACCAGAAAGCCACGGCUAACUACGUGCCAGCAGCCGCGGUAAUACGUAGGUGGCAAGCGUUGUCCGGAAUUAUUGGGCGUAAAGCGCGCGCAGGUGGUCCUUUAAGUCUGAUGUGAAAGCCCACGGCUCAACCGUGGAGGGUCAUUGGAAA